GCGGAUAUGGUGCAACGGCUAGCACGAAAGGCUUCCACCCUUUUGAUAUGGGUUUGAAUCCCAUUAUCCGCU
rnacentral:tRNA from 1 species